AAACCGUUCCGUAGGUGAACCUGCGGAAGGAUCAUUAUCGAAAUCGCUCGCCUGCCAGUCCCCUACAAAGGGCUGUCAGCAGCGUUAUCACCCUUGCUUUUUGAGUACCUGUUUUUUUCCUCGGGUUCGCCCGCCAGUGAGGGAACCCACAAAGAAUUUUGCAUUAAAAAUUUUCGUCUAGUCUAAAAACAACCAAUAAUCAA
rnacentral:misc_RNA from 1 species